rnacentral:rRNA from 1 species
UACGGGGGGGCAAGCGUUGUUCGGAAUUACUGGGCGUAAAGGGCUCGUAGGCGGCCAACUAAGUCGGACGUGAAAUCCCCAGGCUCAACCUGGGAACUGCGUCCGAUACUGGAUGGCUUGAAUUCGGGAGAGGGAUGCAGAAUUCCAGGUGUAGCGGUGAAAUGCGUAGAUAUCUGGAGGAAUACCGGUGGCGAAGGCGGCAUCCUGGACCGACAUUGACGCUGAAAACCGAAAGCUAGGGGAGCAAACGGG